rnacentral:rRNA from 1 species
UACGUAGGAGACGAGCGUUAUCCGGAUUUACUGGGUGUAAAGCGCAUGUAGGCGGGUUCCCAAGUCGAGCAUGAAAUCUCCCGGCUUAACCGGGAGGAGCGGUUCGAUACUAGGAGCCUUGAGGGCAGGAGAGGGAAGCAGAAUUCCCGGUGUAGUGGUGGAAUACGUAGAUAUCGGGAGGAAUACCAGUGGCGAAAGCGGCUUCCUGGCCUGCUCCUAACGCUGAGAUGCGAAAGCGUGGGUAGCAAACGGG